GAUGAACGCUAGCUACAGGCUUAACACAUGCAAGUCGAGGGGCAGCAUGAGCUUAGCUUGCUAAGCUUGAUGGCGACCGGCGCACGGGUGAGUAACGCGUAUCCAACCUUCCCCUUAGUAGGGCAUAGCCCGGUGAAAAUCGGAUUAAUACCCUAUGUUCUUCACAGCGGACAUCUAACGUGAAGCAAAGGUUCACCGCUAAGGGAUGGGGAUGCGUCUGAUUAGGUAGUCGGCGGGGUAACGGCCCACCGAGCCAUCGAUCAGUAGGGGUUCUGAGAGGAAGGUCCCCCACAUUGGAACUGAGACACGGUCCAAACUCCUACGGGAGGCAGCAGUGAGGAAUAUUGGUCAAUGGGCGCGAGCCUGAACCAGCCAAGUAGCGUGCAGGAUGACGGCCCUAUGGGUUGUAAACUGCUUUUAUGCGGGGAUAAAGUCACCCACGUGUGGGUGUUUGCAGGUACCGCAUGAAUAAGGACCGGCUAAUUCCGUGCCAGCCGCCGCAGUAACAC
rnacentral:rRNA from 1 species